UGGCGACCGGCGCACGGGUGAGUAACGCGUAUCCAACCUGCCCUUUACUAUGGGACAGCCCGUCGAAAGGCGGAUUAAUACCGUAUGUUGUCAUGUUGAUGCAUAUUUUCAUGACCAAAGGCUUCGGCCGGUAAAGGAUGGGGAUGCGUCUGAUUAGCUUGCCGGCGGGGUAACGGCCCACCGGGGCGACGAUCAGUAGGGGUUCUGAGAGGAAGGUCCCCCACAUUGGGACUGAGACACGGCCCAAACUCCUACGGGAGGCAGCAG
rnacentral:rRNA from 1 species